rnacentral:miRNA from 10 species
UACUAUUAGGUUGGUGCAAAAGUAACUGCAGAUUUUGCCACUAAAAGUAACUGUAAAAACUGCAAUUACUUUUACACCCACCUGAUAUUUUU